rnacentral:rRNA from 1 species
CCUACGGGAGGCAGCAGUGAGGAAUAUUGGUCAAUGGACGCAAGUCUGAACCAGCCAUGCCGCGUGCAGGAAGACGGCUCUAUGAGUUGUAAACUGCUUUUGUACGAGGGUAAACGCAGAUACGCGUAUCUGUCUGAAAGUAUCGUACGAAUAAGGAUCGGCUAACUCCGUGCCAGCAGCCGCGGUAAUACGGAGGAUUCAAGCGUUAUCCGGAUUUAUUGGGUUUAAAGGGUGCGUAGGCGGUUCGAUAAGUUAGAGGUGAAAGCCCGGGGCUCAACACCGGCACUGCCUCUGAUACUGUCAGGCUAGAGUUUAGUUGCGGUAGGCGGAAUGUAUGGUGUAGCGGUGAAAUGCAUAGAGAUCAUACAGAACACCGAUUGCGAAGGCAGCUUACCAAACUACGACUGACGUUGAGGCACGAAAGCGUGGGGAGCAAACAGGAUUAGAUACCCUGGUAGUC